GACAGAGGGUGCAAGCGUUGUUCGGAAUCAUUGGGCGUAAAGGGCGCGUAGGCGGUUUUGUAAGUCGGAUGUGAAAGCCCAGGGCUCAACCUUGGAAGUGCAUCCGAAACUGCAUAACUUGAGUCUCGGAGAGGGUGGUAGAAUUCCCAGUGUAGAGGUGAAAUUCGUAGAUAUUGGGAGGAAUACCGGUGGCGAAGGCGACCACCUGGACGAAGACUGACGCUGAGGCGCGAGAGCGUGGGGAGCAAACAGG
rnacentral:rRNA from 1 species